rnacentral:tRNA from 2 species
GCCCCCGUAGCUCAGGGGAUAGAGCACUGGCCUCCGGAGCCAGGAGCGCAGGUUCGAAUCCUGCCGGGGGUACCA